UAGUUAGGCCCUUCGAGGCUAUUAUGUAAGUAUUGGUCAUGUGACCAUGUUGUAAUUUUCUUAUUCCGCUUUGUAAUGGAUGGUGUAAUUUGAUAUCAGUUCGGUUAUGUGUUCACGGCGCACUGAUCAUGGGAUCGUGAACUGUAUACAUAACAGGGUAUUUCGGACAGCUAGUCCGGGGUCCCCACAGAGCUGAUCUGUAACACCCCAACUUUUGCAACCUUGAUUAAUUGUCCA